rnacentral:rRNA from 1 species
UACGGAAGGCAGCAGGGGGAAUAUUGGACAAUGGGCGCAAGCCUGAUCCAGCCAUGCCGCGUGAGUGAUGAAGGCCUUAGGGUUGUAAAGCUCUUUUGUCCGGGACGAUAAUGACGGUACCGGAAGAAUAAGCCCCGGCUAACUUCGUGCCAGCAGCCGCGGUAAUACGAAGGGGCUAGCGUUGCUCGGAAUCACUGGGCGUAAAGGGCGCGUAGGCGGCCAUUUAAGUCGGGGGUGAAAGCCUGUGGCUCAACCACAGAAUUGCCUUCGAUACUGGAUGGCUUGAGUUCGGUAGAGGUUGGUGGAACUGCGAGUGUAGAGGUGAAAUUCGUAGAUAUUCGCAAGAACACCGGUGGCGAAGGCGGCCAACUGGACCGACACUGACGCUGAGGCGCGAAAGCGUGGGGAGCAAACAGGGAUUAGAUACC